rnacentral:pre_miRNA from 13 species
AGAAGCUCCUGCUCCGUCAUCCCAGUGUUCAGACUACCUGUUCAGGAUUUUACUGGUGUACAGUAGUCUGCACAUUGGUUAGACAGUGCAUGGAAGUGCA